UUGUGAUGUCAUCGUUGUCGUUGCGUCUUGGUCAUACAGACGUUGUCAUGCGUUUGUUGUUAUACCGUUGUCGUGAUUUCACCGUGGUCAUAUUCCAGGUUUUCGUCAUCGGAUGGUCAUCAUAUUGUCGUCGUCACACCGUCGUCGUCAUACACUCGUGGUCAUCCCAUUGUCCUCAUGCUGUCUUCGUCACGCUGUCAUCGUUAUAUGUACCAUCGUUCUCAUUGCAGAAUUAUCAUCCCAUUGUCAUCAUGUCCUCGCUCUCAUACCGCCUUCGUCAUUCCAUCACCGUCUCUGUGUCGUCGUCAUUGUCAUCGUCGUGCCGUCGUGAUCAUGGCCGACCAGGUUGGCGAGCGAGAGUAAUAACAAGGUGGGUCUCCGGAUUACAGAGACAGUGUAUGUCGCAUAUAACCGAAGCAGUGCAAAUGUAAGACUUCGCUUUAAAUGAAAGUGUCUUCAGCAAUACAGUGCGUCGCUGCAUUGUUUGAAUGCUAAUCACAUUAACAUCGACAGUCAUCGCGAGACGGAUUCUGUGGGAAUUUUUAUAAUAUAUAGAUACCGCAGGAUUUCUUUAGGACGCAGGAAACGUGAUUGUGUAUAACAUGUAGGAAGUUCGUUGCCUAUGUGUACAGAACGCUCUACAAAAUUCUAAUUGGAAGUUUUGCCCCAACAUUAUUACUUGCGAAGUUCGUUAAUGAAUAUCUACUAAUUACGUAAUUAAUAGCAAUAAAAAAAACAGUGUCACUUACUCCGUUACAUUUGGUCGCUAAUUCCUAAGGCACUCCGACAUAUUUUUAACCCUUGUCUGAAGUUAGCUGGGAAAACCCUCUUUAGCGCAGCCGUCGGCCUCGCACACCUAACAUCGGCAUGGUGCAUAAAAAAAAAGAAAAAAAAAACUAGAAAAGAAAUUGGCAAUAAGCGCUGAAGUCAUAUGCAUUUUGCCACCCAAUCUAUUGCACUGCCAAAUUGAAAUUCACCUGCAUGCGAUUGACAGUUUGGCAUUUGCGGUGCUGACGAAAGUAACAUUUCACGUGCACCAUGACGCAAUCGCAAAACUAAGAUAAACGCCGCCUUAUUCGACCGCAUGCAAAGGGGAAAAAAUAUAAUAAAAAAUAAGUUUUAAAGCAAUGCAGAUACGGUGUUGAGUUAAAAGCGCAUGCGCCCCUGAGCCCAUAUAAGCGGACAACGCGAGCCGCAGCAUGCGCAUUCAGAUCAGCCACCGCGAAGCGCCCGCACGGAGAGCUGGAACGAUGGGAUCCGUGGUCCGCCUGCUACUUACAGCUGUCACCAUGUCGAUGGUAUUGACAGCUGCUGCUUUUCCAGGCCUGUGCAUUCCGGUGGACUACUGCGACGGCAACUGCGUUGCCGGCUACGACACUGCAGGAUGCGAAGUUUGCGUCUGUCCACCUUGUCUGCCUUGCCCAACGGACUGCUACGAUGCGGCGCCGGGUUGCCCCGUGUGCGCGCCGAUACAAGACUGCUUUCAGUGGCCCCUGUCCGUUUUCUUCUGAAAGCUCCAUCUUCUAUAUAUAACGCCGUAAUGCAGACUAUAUAUUCAUUGUAAUGACCGCCCCUUCUACAGGCGAUCGUUGGCGUUUUAGCAUGUGACAUACGUAUAUAAAGUUACCGACUGAGCCUGGUCACCUGACUUACGCAUUCACCUUGCGCAGUUACCGGGAAUAAAAACUUUGCUUCACCGUU